rnacentral:ncRNA from 1 species
UACGGAAAAUAGCAAACUUAUUGAAAAGUAAGGACGCAAAGCCAUAGGGCCUUACGAGAGUAUGGUAGCCUAGCCACCAAA